AAAGGAAGAUUAAUACUCCCAUAAUAUAUUGAUGGCAUCGAUUGAUAUUGAAAGCUCCGGCGGAUAGAGAUGGGCACGCGCAAGAUUAGCUAGUUGGUGAGGUAACGGCUCACCAAGGCGAUGAUCUUUAGGGGCCUGAGAGGGUGAUCCCCCACACUGGUACUGAGACACGGACCAGACUCCUACGGGAGGCAGCAGUGAGGAAUAUUGGUCAAUGGGUGCAAGCCUGAACCAGCCAUCCCGCGUGAAGGACGACUGCCCUAUGGGUUGUAAACUUCUUUUGUAUAGGGAUAAACCUACCCUCGUGAGGGUAGCUGAAGGUACUAUACGAAUAAGCACCGGCUAACUCCGUG
rnacentral:rRNA from 1 species